UACGGAGGGUGCAAGCGUUGCUCGGAAUUAUUGGGCGUAAAGGGUAGGUAGGUGGUCUCGUUUGUCUGGGGUGAAAUCCCUGAGCUUAACUUAGGAAGUGCCUCGGAAACGGCGAGACUGGAGUCCUGGAGAGGGUCGCGGAAUUCCCGGUGUAGCGGUGAAAUGCGUAGAGAUCGGGAGGAACACCAGAGGCGAAAGCGGCGACCUGGACAGGUACUGACACUCAACUACGAAAGCGUGGGGAGCAAACAGG
rnacentral:rRNA from 1 species